CCUACGGGUGGCAGCAGUGGGGAAUAUUGGACAAUGGGCGAAAGCCUGAUCCAGCCAUGCCGCGUGUGUGAAGAAGGCCUUCGGGUUGUAAAGCACUUUCAGUGGGGAAGAAAGCCUUGGGGCUAAUACCCUCGAGGAAGGACAUCACCCACAGAAGAAGCACCGGCUAACUCCGUGCCAGCAGCCGCGGUAAUACGGAGGGUGCGAGGCGUUAAUCGGAAUUACUGGGCGUAAAGCGCGCGUAGGCGGUCUGAUAAGCCGGUUGUGAAAGCCCCGGGCUCAACCUGGGAACGGCAUCCGGAACUGUCAGGCUAGAGUGCAGGAGAGGAAGGUAGAAUUCCCGGUGUAGCGGUGAAAUGCGUAGAGAUCGGGAGGAAUACCAGUGGCGAAGGCGGCCUUCUGGACUGACACUGACGCUGAGGUGCGAAAGCGUGGGUAGCAAACAGGAUUAGAUACCCUUGUAGUC
rnacentral:rRNA from 1 species